UACGUAGGGAGCAAGCGUUGUUCGGAUUUACUGGGCGUAAAGGGCGCGUAGGCGGCCACCGCAAGUCGACUGUGAAAUCUCCGGGCUUAACCCGGAAAGGUCAGCCGAUACUGCGGGCUAGAGUGCAGAAGGGGCAACUGGAAUUCUCGGUGUAGCGGUGAAAUGCGUAGAUAUCGAGAGGAACACCUGCGGCGAAGGCGGGUUGCUGGGCUGACACGUGACGCUGAGGCGCGAAAGCUAGGGGAGCGAACGGG
rnacentral:rRNA from 1 species